rnacentral:rRNA from 1 species
UACGUAGGGUGCGAGCGUUAAUCGGAAUUACUGGGCGUAAAGCGUGCGCAGGCGGUUUUGUAAGCCAGAUGUGAAAGCCCCGGGCUUAACCUGGGGAAUGGCAUUUGAGACUGCAUAGCUAGGGUGCGGAAGAGGGAAGCGGAAUUUCCGGUGUAGCGGUGAAAUGCGUAGAUAUCGGAAGGAACACCAGUGGCGAAAGCGGCUUCCUGGUCCAGCACCGACGUCAGGCACGAAAGCGUGGGGAGCAAACAGGG